UUCAACAAAUAGCCCCUCGCCGCCAAAUUCGGGCCCAUCUGUGUAUUUUUAAUAGUACGUGCUCUUAGCAGCACCAAGAAAGAAAGAAAGAAAACAAACAACAAACCACCAAACCAAAAGGAAAUCCUUCCAGACAGAAAUAAAGUGGAUUUGGCAUUACCUGAAUGACGUUUUCAAUGCUGCCACUGAACCAUGAUGGAUAUUCUACAAAGCCCUUCCGUCACAGAAGGCUGUUAGCUAUCCAGCCUUUUCUCAGGCACUAAGCAAAGAAGUAUCUCAUUGUCGUCUGUGUUCCCACGCUAUUCCCACGAAAAUCUCACUCAGGCUUGCAGACAGAUGCAGCACAGAUCCUGAGAGCAAGUGAACUGCCUUACCUUCGUCUUUAGACUGAAAACUUCUUGAACUUAGACUGUUACUGAAAUUAAACAACAUACUUGCAGCAAUUUAAGAAAUAAGAAUAAUGCUACUAUUGGUAGCCUACUAGUAUUUUUGCCUUCAUUCUCAUCAAGAUCAGACUUGCUUACACUUCACAAACCUAUUUUUAAGUGGUGACAACAUUAUUUGUAUUACUGAAGCACUCAAAAGCCACAGACUUGGACCACAACCUCGUUGUGCAAGAUCCUGUACAAACAGGGCAGAAGAAUUACCCAUACACCAGAAGGAAUGUAACCAGUAUAAAGCAAGAAUCCUCAUGCAGACUGAUGUGGGAGUAGAAGGAAAACGAUCAUUUGUGUCAUAUAAAUAAUGUUUUAAAUAGUCUGGGAACACUGGGAUCUUGACUGCUAGCAAACUUUUUCAGAUAUCCCAGCAAAAGAGUACACUACAGAAAGCAUUAGGAACAGCCGACGAGAUAGCUUUGCUGACGUAUGUGGAGAGGGUCCUUAUGAGGAAAAACGCGAAGGAAUCCAGUCUCCCAUAUUCCAGGUUUACCUGCAAUUGUGAAUGUUACCCUAUACGUAUUUUUCUGAAGCAUCUGGGAUCUCAUAAUCCUAAACAUACACAGAAUCUAGAAUAUUUUUGAUCUAGAAUAUAUUUUUCUUUUAAAAAUACAGUAGUGCUUACAGAUUCUUUCCAAAUGAAUGCUUAUUUCCUUUUUUUUUGAUAUUGCUAAAAGUCAUAGCAAUGACCAGGUUAUUCUUUUCAUGAACUGUUUCGUCUUUACAUUUGUAGUGAAACAUGAACUGCAAUUAUCCUUUCAUUUUCCCCUACUUCCAGUUUCCUCUUAAAGAGGAUCAUCUCGUUCUGAAGAUUCCCAAACACUCAGUCCCUGCGGCACACAGCUGCUCCAGAGGCCAAUAUGCCCUUAUGCCUCCUCUCUCUUUCGCCUCUUUCAUAUAUAAGAGGAUUAUGAAAAGCACUGACAAUUCUGGAGCUUUUGAAGACAGUGGAAGAAUUUUCAAAACAUUUUUACGUAUUCCAUGUGGUGGGUGGGCUAUACUCAAAUGCCUCUUUAGCUUGUAGGAAUGAGAUAUUUUCUAAAGUUCCAUCAUAGCCAUGAAGAUGACUUUUGUAAAAACUUGUGAGCUGCCCAAAUGUAUGAUAGA